GGAGAGAUCUGAUUGAGAUACUUUUAAACCAAGAGAUGUGAUUGGGUAAGGGGAGAGAUCUGAUUGGAUACUUUUAAACCAAGAGAUGUGAUUGGGUAAGGGGAGAGAUCUGAUUGGGUUACUUUUAAACCAAGAGAUGUGAUUGGGUAAGGGGAGAGAUCUGAUUGAGAUACUUUUAAACCAAGGGAAAGGGGAUGUGAUUGGGUAAGGGGAAAGGAGCAGGUGUGUCUUCUGAUUAGAGACUGAUUGGGUUACGUUUAAACCAAGGGAAAGGGGAUGUGAUUGGGUAAGGGGAAAGGAGCAGGUGUGUCUUCUGAUUAGAGACUGAUUGGGUUACGUUUAAACCAAGGGAAAGGGGAUGUGAUUGGGUAAGGGGAAAGGAGCAGGUGUGUCUUCUGAUUAGAGACUGAUUGGGAUACGUUUAAACCAAGGGAAAGGGGAUGUGAUUGGGUAAGGGGAAAGGAGCAGGUGUGUCUUCUGAUUAGAGACUGAUUGGGUUACUUUUAAACCAAGGGAAAGGGGAUGUGAUUGGGUAAGGGGAAAGGAGCAGGUGUGUCUUCUGAUUAGAGACUGAUUGGGAUACGUUUAAACCAAGGGAAAGGGGAUGUGAUUGGGUAAGGGGAAAGGAGCAGGUGUGUCUUCUGAUUAGAGACUGAUUGGGUUACUUUUAAACCAAGGGAAAGGGGAUGUGAUUGGGUAAGGGGAAAGGAGCAGGUGUGUCUUCUGAUUAGAGACUGAUUGGGUUACUUUUAAACCAAGGGAAAGGGGAUGUGAUUGGGUAAGGGGAAAGGAGCAGGUGUGUCUUCUGAUUAGAGACUGAUUGGGAUACGUUUAAACCAAGGGAAAGGGGAUGUGAUUGGGUAAGGGGAAAGGAGCGGGUGUGUCUUCUGAUUAGAGACUGAUUGGGUUACUUUUAAACCAAGGGAAAGGGGAUGUGAUUGGGUAAGGGGAAAGGAGCAGGUGUGUCUUCUGAUUAGAGACUGAUUGGGUUACUUUUAAACCAAGGGAAAGGGGAUGUGAUUGGGUAAGGGGAAAGGAGCAGGUGUGUCUUCUGAUUAGAGACUGAUUGGGUUACUUUUAAAACAAGGGAAAGGGGAUGUGAUUGGGUAAGGGGAAAGGAGCAGGUGUGUCUUCUGAUUAGAGACUGAUUGGGAUACGUUUAAACCAAGGGAAAGGGGAUGUGAUUGGGUAAGGGGAAAGGAGCAGGUGUGUCUUCUGAUUAGAGACUGAUUGGGUUACGUUUAAACCAAGGGAAAGGGGAUGUGAUUGGGUAAGGGGAAAGGAGCAGGUGUGUCUUCUGAUUAGAGACUGAUUGGGAUACGUUUAAACCAAGGGAAAGGGGAUGUGAUUGGGUAAGGGGAAAGGAGCAGGUGUGUCUUCUGAUUAGAGACUGAUUGGGUUACUUUUAAACCAAGAGAUGUGAUUGGGUAAGGGGAAAGGAGCAGGUGUGUCUUCUGAUUAGAGACUGAUUGGGUUACUUUUAAACCAAGGGAAAGGGGAUGUGAUUGGGUAAGGGGAAAGGAGCAGGUGUGUCUUCUGAUUAGAGACUGAUUGGGAUACGUUUAAACCAAGGGAAAGGGGAUGUGAUUGGGUAAGGGGAAAGGAGCAGGUGUGUCUUCUGAUUGGCGACUGAUUAGGGAAUGAUGAUUGCCACCUAUGAGUCUCCUGUGAGAAGGAGAGAGAUACACACAGGAUACAAUGUUCAGCACAUCUCACAACACUAGUGUCUAGGGGUUGAUUUGGUACUAGGCCAGACUAGUGUCUAGGGGUUGAUUUGGUACUAGGCCAGACUAGUGUCUAGGGGUUGAUUUGGUACUAGGCCAGACUAGUGUCUAGGGGUUGAUUUGGUACUAGGCCAGACUAGUGUCUAGGGUUGAUUUGGUACUAGGCCAGACUAGUGUCUAGGGGUUGAUUUGGUACUA